UAAUAUUUUCUUCGCAGCAAUCGUCAUAGAGACUUUAGCAGUGACAAAUAUGGGAAACGAAACAAUAUUAUCAGUAUUCGUGAUCUGUUUAUACACUUUUUCUCUGGCACAUUCCAGGAAUGGCUUUCAGAUAUACAAUGAUUGGAUUGACGUCGUAACUCUAACGAAUACUACUACUACUCCAACUCCAUCUACAUCUACAUCAACGACUACCUCUUCUACACCAUGGACCCCCACAGUCUCCCCAGCACCUACCACAACUUCGAAACCACCACAACCAAUCAACAUUUUUAUGUUUUUGAUACAAAAUAAUACCAAUGUGAAUUUCAGGUUCGGCUGAAUGGUAUAUGUUUGUUGAACUCAUACUUAUAAUUCAAAUAUAUCAGGUGACUUCCACUAGUUAAAAUUAUGAGGAAGUUGUACUUUUUUAAUUCAAAUACUCGCAUCAGCCAACUGGCUAUUAGCUAUAUAGUAAAGAUUAUUGCAUAUAACAGUUGUUAGUUAUUGAAUUUUAUGUAAGAUAUUAUCCUCGAAAAAAAGCAAAAUGUUGUCCCAGUACUUAACACAAAGGUCGCUAGGAAUUCCAAUAAACAUUCUCUGUCUCGAAAACUA